GUUGAUCCUGCGGGAGAUUGCUGCUAUUGGGAUUCGACUAAGCCAUGCAAGUCUUCUCGUAAGAGAGGCAAAAGGCUCAGUAACACGUCGUUAACCUGCCCUAAGGUCAGGCAUACCCUCGGAAAACUGAGGUUAAUACCUGAUAUGAUAUUCUUCUUGGAAUAGUGUUUAUCUUAAACUCGUGCCUUAGGAUGGGACGGCGGCGGAUUAGGCUGUUGGUGAGGUAAUGGCUCACCAAACCGAUGAUCCGUACGGGCCGUGAGAGCGGUAGCCCGGAGAAGGACACUGAGAAACUGGUCCUAGCCCUACGGGGUGCAGCAGGCGCGAAACCUUUACAAUGCACGCAAGUGUGAUAAGGGAAUCCCAAGUGCUCAUGCAUUGCAUGGGCUUUUUUCAAGAGUAAAUAUCUUGGAGAAUAAGUGGUGGGAAAGACUGGUGCCAGCCGCCGCGGUAACACCAGCGCCACAAGUGGCAAUCGUAUUUAUUGGGCCUAAAGCGUCCGUAGCCGGUUGUGUAAAUCCUUUGUGAAAUCAUUGAGCUUAACUUAAUGAAUGGCAGAGGACACUGCAUAACUUGAGACCGGGAGGAGUCAGAGGUAUUCCACGGGGAGCGGUAAAAUGCUUUAAUCCGUGGCAGACCACCAAUGGCGAAGGCAUCUGACCAGAACGGAUCUGACGGUGAGGGACGAAAGCUAGGGGAGCGAACCGGAUUAGAUACCCGAGUAGUCCUAGCUGUAAACGCUGCGAGCAAGGUGUUGCAUAUUCUACAUGGAUGUGCAGUGUCGAAAUGAAGAUGUUAAGCUCGCCGCCUGGGAAGUACGGUCGCAAGGCUGAAACUUAAAGGAAUUGGCGGGGGAGCACCACAAGGGGUGCGGCGUGCGGUUUAAUCUAACUAAACGCAGAAAACCUCACUAGGAGCGACGGCAGGAUGAAGAUCAGGUUGAAGACCUUAUCUGACGAGCCGAGAGGUAGUGCAUGGCCGUCGUCAGCUCGUGCUGUAAAGUGUCCAGUUAAGUCUGGCAACGAGCGAGACCUGUACCCACAAUUGCUAGCGACCUUUGGGAUCGAGCACAUUGUGGGGACUGCAUGUGUAAACAUGAGGAAGGUGCAGACUACGGUAGGUCUGUAUGCUCCGAAUCUCCUAGGCUACACGCGCGCAACAAUGGUAGGGACAAUGGGAUGCAACUCCGAAAGGAGAAGCUAAACCUCUAAACCCUAUCUCAGUCCGGAUUGAGGGUUGUAACUCACCCUCAUGACGAUGGAAUCCCUAGUAAUCAGAGUUCAUCAUACUCUGGUGAAUAUGUCCCUGCUCCUUGCACACACCGCCCGUCAAACCAACCGAGCAGGGUUUAGGUAAGACUUAGUUUCUUGAUUAAGCCGAAUCUAAGCUCAGUGAGGUGGGUUAAGUCGUCACAAGGUA
rnacentral:rRNA from 1 species